rnacentral:lncRNA from 1 species
GGCAGUUUAUCUGAUUAAUGUAUGAUUUUUUUUCUAAAAGAUGAAAUUAAAGUAUUGAAACUGAAGAUUUGUUUUCCUGCUGACUGAUGAUUAAAAGUGAAAAUCAACAAUUCUAUUGUUUGAAAGAUUCAUUCCAAAACUAUAUUGGCUUUUAAGAUAGGUUUUCAAAAUGGUGGAAUGCACUGGUUUAGGUAUUGCAUAUGGGGAGUGAUGUGGAGAAAUACUAUAAUUUUAUCAUUAAUUUUCUUGAAGUUUGCAUCAGAUAAAAGUGCAAUUCUUUUGAAAAGUAUUCGUUACUCAUCAUCAUCUUUCAGUAGGUACUGUUUUCAUUCAUGUCGUGCUAAUAUAGAACCAUUUAAAAAAAUAAAAUGUUAUUUAUUCAUAAACACAAAAUUAUGCAAAAUAAUACGAGUUAUGCAUAUCAAAGGUUACGC